AGCCAGUCGUGCAUGCUACAGAGAUUUGUCUGGUUAAUUCCAUUAACGAACGAGACCUCAGCCUGCUAACUAGCUAUGCGGAGGUGACCCUCCGCUGCUAGCUUCUUAGAGGGACUAUGGCUUUCCAGGCCAAGGAAGUUUGAGGCAAUAACAGGUUUGUG
rnacentral:rRNA from 1 species